AACAAUGCUUGAAGAUGGAGACUUUUUCUCUUGGAGUUUUAAGCACGCCUAAGCUGCAAACGUUACAAUUGAUAGAAGGAGAGGAUGAAGUAGAAGAAUUUGGGGAAGGCAACCCUGAACUUAAUUCUGCCAUACAGCAAUUGUUUAAUAAAAGGAAUGUGCAAAGUUCUAAGGAAGAUUAAAGCCAUUCUUCGUGUGCAAGAUCAAAUUUGUUUAUAUUGCUUCAGAUAGACUACAGCUCCAUUUUCCUGAAGAUGAAGAGGAUUUUUCAUUCUGCUAUCUUCAUUGAUGUUGUCUUGAAAUUUGGUUGAAUAGAGUAAUGCCCUCUUAUUGCACAUUCAUCCUAUUGCUUUACUGCUUGGAUUUGUUUUAUGCAUUUUGAUUUCUCCAGUUGUCGAACAAUUUUUCAAUACAUUGUUUUGUGAAUUUCUGUUUUAACACAUUAUUGGCUCUAUCAACACUGAGUUUCUGGAAAUCACAAGUUUUGUUUGCUGUAGGUGCUCAUGAACUUGAAGAUCAUCUAACAGGUUAAGUUGUUUCAAACAACUUGGCAUCCUUGUUUAAGUUGUUCUUUUUUGUUCAUUGGUGUAACUCCAAUGCUUAAAGAAGCCAUCAGAGGAGCGUUUUUCUAUUGUAAAAAAGGACAUCCUUUUUUGUAUCAUUUCCAAACAAGUUGACAAACUUGCUGGAUACGUAAAAUGGAUCCUUUCUUUUCCAUCCAUCACUUUUGACAUGUUUAAAAAGAAUAGUGUGCCAUCUAAUUUCUUAUAGCAUGUUCAAAUUGGUUCUCUUUUUUUUUUUUUAAAAAAAAAAAUAUUGAAAUGGAUGAUUCUGUCGUUUAUAGUCGAAAAGAAGAGUCACAAGAGUUUUCCAAACCAUAAUUACAUAUUUCCCUUUUAAGUAUUAGUGAGGACUAUAGCAUUUAUUCUAGUGUUUUAAUAAGUUACAGUUGGUUUUCUGUGUUUGUUGGACAGAUAUCUCUUUUUCUAAUCAGAAAUGGGGCACGAUAUAAAUGUGGAAGGCAAUGAUACACUCUGCCUGGGGUCCUUAAUUAGAAGAUUUAGACCAAAACUAGUAGAUGCCACAAACACUAUGCUUCAUCUUGAACAAUGAAUUUCUUCGGUUAUUUUGCAAAUUUUGACUUCAAAAGUUAUUUAUAGUAAGAGAAGUGAGCAUAAUUGUUGCAUUUGUAGUUGAAGAUUUAGUUGGAUUCCCACAUUUGCAAUUUAGGAGGUUUUUGCUACUGCCUUCUGAAAUUUUUUGGGAGGUGUUGGUGAUCAAAUGUUGAAAUUUUGGUAGCUGGAGAGUUAUGGGGAUGUUUGUGAAAUUCUGUUGAAGCCUCUACAAAGCUUAUGAUUUUCAAGCCUACAGGCAUGGUUUGUGGAGACUAGAAGGAAGCUGUGAUUUCAGAGGGCUCCUGAACUUUGGUGGAGAUCAGCAGCCCUUAUACUGUACACGAUAAGCUGUGCAACAAGGUGAGUGAGGAGGCACACAGCUCAUAAUCCAUGGAUUGUUUGAAAGGGCAAUGGCAGAUUAGCUAUUCAUGUCUACCUGUGGUAAGAGCUUCUUCCUUUG